rnacentral:lncRNA from 1 species
GUAUCUGUGGAGGAAGAAGGUGAGGUGCCGAGAAAAGCCUGACAGCCAAAGUGGGGAACUGUCCGGGAGAAGGAUACGUGAUGAAUGAGUGUAUUUAUACUGUGUCUGCAAGAUUUGCCAAAUCGAGGGCCAAAGCUGUGACUUUGGGGGCUGUGCUGUCAGUCUGAGAAAUGCAGAAACUGCAAGAAAGUGGAUAUCUAGAAAAAGCUGGAUGUUUUCAGUUCCUGAUUCAAGCAGCAUUAGCGACAGCAACAUUAGGACUAUAUCGAGAGAGAGAAUGAAGAGGAAAGGAAUCUAACAGCCGCAAAGGUCCUGAAGAUGUCCUGGUCUUUCCUGUACUUCUCCAUCAUGACUUGUCUUGAAACUAGAAGUGGAGUGUCAUUGGUUCACAGGAAGAUUUUUGGACAUCAAGAGUUCCAUAAGGAGUCAUGGGAGUGUGUGUGCAUGAGAAAUGUGUGUAUGAAGGAAGUGUCCUAGCUGCUGUAUCCUCUCUGAAGAGCUUUCCUGUCUUCUCCUGCUGCAGCACAAUGGAGCUCCCGGCUCUUCCAUUGUCUUUCCUGCUUCUCCAGAGCCUACUGAAUCUUUGUCUCCUUGCCUGAUGGUCCUGGAAUAUCACUGGGAGAAGUGGAGUACCACUAAGAAAAAACAAAAUCAGGUUUCAAUGUUCCUGAUUGGUGGGAGGAAUUUGGUGGAAAAGACUCUUCAAGCAGUAGGACCUCCAUUCCAUGUGAGGACCUCAGUAUCACACCUGCUGCGCAGAAUGGACAAUCUGUCAUAAGAAACUAUGGACAUUCCUGUGCAUGGACAAAGAAAGAAAGGCUGCUCCUGAAAUGUGCUGGUGCUUUAGGAUGGUGUGUUUUUUUAGGAAGAGAAAGAUUGUGUGUUGUGUUUUUGCAACAUCUGAAAUGAGGCUGCUGCAAACACCAAGUGGGCCAUGCUGUGCAAAGGCUUGACGCUGUGGCUGUUCUCCGGCUUACUGUUUUGCCUUUCUGCCCCCGCUACUGUCAAGCUGGUCCCUUUGCUCAGUGACCUCAUGCAGAGAAGUAGCUGUUCUGAGACAGGUACUCUUGGUGCACAAGGCCUGAAUUAGCUUUCAGAGGAGACAGUUCAGAAGCCACGUGACAAGGUAGAAUUUCCAGCUCUGGGCUUUACUGACUUUUCUCCUCGCAAAGACAUGAGCAGAAAAAGACUAUUGUAACCUUGCAAAUCCUGAAUUUUCUUCUCUUGCAAUGAACUAUAUUGUAUAAAUGAUAGUGUGUCAUAAGGGCAAGGAAACAAGAGGGGAAUCUGUCAUUACAGCUCUUGGAAACAGAGGAGGAUGGCUCACCUUCAGUGAGAUGUCCCAAGUUGCAUUCCUUGCCAGCACUAGCUGUUAUUUCAGGUUUUAAUGUUUUGCAUGGUAAGUUCCUUACAUAUAGGCAUGAGCAUAUAUGCACUCAAAAAGACUCUUAAAGGUAAGUCUUUCUUCUGGAUCCCAAAAGUACCUACUAUAUUCAUUUUUCUUUUAUUUAUGAGUGCACUAACUUCAGUCACAUCUGGCAUAUUUCAAACCCCGGUUCUGGAUUGAAUGUACACACUGAAAUGUGAAGUGCCAAAGAACUGUCAUCUCAUUCUAAUAGUUAUUUCAAAGUGCACAAGAUAUUAUUGGCCUAAUGGACACACAAACGACUCUGUCCAGGACUUACAUAAAAGUGGGUGAGACAGGCUGCUUUAGGCCACCACAUAUUUUAAAGCUUAAGUUGAAAGAUACACCUUCUAAUUUAAUUUAAAAGUGCCUUGAAAAUUACCAAGCAACUUCUGGAAAGCUGCUUUUUAAGAAGCUAAUUUGUUUGUUUAAUUUCAGAAAAAGAUUGCAUAUUAUUAUGUGUGUUGCAUAAAUCAACAGAGAAAUGUAUCCUGGAAAUGCAAUAGGACAUUUCAACACUUCCUUUGCUUUUUUUUUUUUUUUUUUUUUUUCAAUUAAAACCCCUUUAAUUGUCUUGUGGAGUUUCAUCAGCUAUUCAACAAAUGUUAUUUAUGUAUAAAACUUCAACAGAUUAUUGAGUACACAAAGAACCAAAGGAAAAAAAUUAAGCAGGUUUGUCAUAUGGUAUGUGUUUAUCUUAACCUUUCUUCUUCAAAAAUCUUAUCUACUAAGUAAUUUUAUCAGACACUAAUUAUAUUCUUUCUGAAAAGAAUUUCUCCAGCACCCUUCAGUGCCUACACCCUUUAAUCAUAUCUCAUUACAUCUACCUAAUCCAUCUCUUUUUUGCAUUGCCAGGGCUCAUUAACAGUUUUAGAAGCCAAUCUCGGACAUUAUCAUUCCCUUCUAUAGAAAUACAAAUAACACCAAUAGUUUUUACUCUUAGUUUUCAUUUGCAUUUGUAAUUAGUUCACAGAUUAUUUGGCAAUAUUGAAAGGUGCUUUAAAAAUAACUUUAAAAUAAGUAAUCGAUUAACAGUACAAAGUUGUAGGCCUUUUCCAGAAUGGUUGUUUUUAUAAGCUGUUUUAACAGCAUAUCAAUAAUCACUUUGAAGGGAAACUAUCCUUGACUAACAUUUAGCAGAUAUGGUGCUCCACAGGUAUUUUAUAGGUGAUACAGGUGCCACCUUGUAAACAGAAUGGAUAAUCCAAAGAAUCACAUGGUUGUGAGUGCAAAAAUAAAAGACGGGGCCAGCAAAUGGCCUUCCUUCA